UACGGAGGGUGCAAGCGUUAUCCGGAUUCACUGGGUUUAAAGGGUGCGUAGGCGGACAUGUAAGUCCGUGGUGAAAUCUCUAAGCUUAACUUGGAAACUGCCAUGGAUACUAUAUGUCUUGAAUGUUGUGGAGGUUAGCGGAAUAUGUCAUGUAGCGGUGAAAUGCAUAGAUAUGACACAGAACACCAAUUGCGAAGGCAGCUGGCUACACAAAUAUUGACGCUGAGGCACGAAAGCGUGGGGAUCAAACAGG
rnacentral:rRNA from 1 species